GCGAUCAUACUUUAUUGAAAACACAGGUCCUCGUCUUUUCACCGAAGUUAAGCAACAUCAGGGGCCAGGUCAGUACUUGGGAGGGUGACCACUUUGGAACACCGGGUGUUGUUGUAGGCG